rfam:Mus musculus chromosome 19, GRC primary reference assembly.
UUAAAGGCUUUUCUAUAAAAGCCAUAAAAUACAUAAUAUAUAGUUAAUU